rnacentral:rRNA from 1 species
UACGUAGGGGGGCAAGCGUUGUCCGGAUUUAUUGGGCGUAAAGAGCUCGUAGGCGGUUCCGUAAGUCGUGAAGUCAAAUCUCUGGGCUCAACCCAGAAUCGCUUCCGAUACUGCGGUGACUGGAGUCCGGUAGGGGAGUGUGGAAUUCCUGGUGUAGCGGUGAAAUGCGCAGAUAUCAGGAGGAACACCAACAGCGAAGGCAGCACUCUGGGCCGGUACUGACGCUGAGGAGCGAAAGCGUGGGGAGCGAACAGG